UACGAAGGGGGCUAGCGUUGCUCGGAAUUACUGGGCGUAAAGCGCACGUAGGCGGCUUUCUAAGUCGGGGGUGAAAUCCUGGAGCUCAACUCCAGAACUGCCUUCGAUACUGGAGCUUGAGUCCGGGAGAGGUGAGUGGAACUGCGAGUGUAGAGGUGAAAUUCGUAGAUAUUCGCAAGAACACCAGUGGCGAAGGCGGCUCACUGGCCCGGUACUGACGCUGAGGUGCGAAAGCGUGGGGA
rnacentral:rRNA from 1 species